rnacentral:tRNA from 1 species
GGCUCAUUAGCUCAGCCGGUUAGAGCGACGGAAUCAUAAUCCGCAGGUCCCCUGUUCGAAUCAGGGAUGAGCCACCA